GAUGAACGCUGGCGGCGUGCCUAAUACAUGCAAGUCGAGCGAACGGACGAGAAGCUUGCUUUUCUGAUGUUAGCGGCGGACGGGUGAGUAACACGUGGAUAACCUACCUAUAAGACUGGGAUAACUUCGGGAAACCGGAGCUAAUACCGGAUAAUAUUUUGAACCGCAUGGUUCAAAAGUGAAAGACGGUCUUGCUGUCACUUAUAGAUGGAUCCGCGCUGCAUUAGCUAGUUGGUAAGGUAACGGCUUACCAAGGCAACGAUGCAUAGCCGACCUGAGAGGGGGGUAGCCCGCCUUGGAGGGAGACCGGCCCCAAGCGCCCUGGGGGAGGGACCAGUAGGAUACCGUCCGCAGUGGGGAGGACCAUGGCAAAGCGGGCCGAGGGGGGAGGUAGAGUUGUCGGGUGCGUAAUACUUUGUGUUGGGGGAAAAACAGAUUUCAAAGUAAAUGAACCCUUUUUGACGGUACCUAAUAAAAAAGCCCCGGCUAACUACGUG
rnacentral:rRNA from 1 species